rnacentral:rRNA from 1 species
UACGUAGGGUGCGAGCGUUAAUCGGAAUUACUGGGCGUAAAGCGUGCGCAGGCGGUAAGUUAAGUCUGAUGUGAAAGCCCCGGGCUCAACCUGGGAACGGCAUUGGAAACUGGCUUGCUGGAGUGUGGCAGAGGGGGGUGGAAUUCCGCGUGUAGCAGUGAAAUGCGUAGAGAUGCGGAGGAACACCGAUGGCGAAGGCAGCCCCCUGGGCUGAGAUUGACGCUCAGGCACGAAAGCGUGGGGAGCAAACAGG